UGGGGCACCCUCCCAGG
rnacentral:misc_RNA from 1 species